rnacentral:rRNA from 1 species
AACGAACGCUGGCGGCAGGCCUAACACAUGCAAGUCGAGCGAGACCUUCGGGUCUAGCGGCGGACGGGUUAGUAACGCGUGGGAACGUGCCCUUCACUACGGAAUAGUCCCGGGAAACUGGGUUUAAUACCGUAUACGCCCUUCGGGGGAAAGAAAUUCGGUGAAGGAUCGGCCCGCGUCUGAUUAGGUAGUUGGUGGGGUAAUGGCCUACCAAGCCUACGAUCAGUAGCUGGUUUGAGAGGAUGAUCAGCAACACUGGGACUGAGACACGGCCCAGACUCCUACGGGAGGCAGCAGUGGGGAAUCUUAGACAAUGGGGGCAACCCUGAUCUAGCCAUGCCGCGUGAGUGACGAAGGCCUUAGGGUCGUAAAGCUCUUUCGCUGGGGAAGAUAAUGACUGUACCCAGUAAAGAAACCCCGGCUAACUCCG